UCCACACACAUUCUGAUGGGGUUCGAGAUGACCAAGUACAUUCCUGCCGACCUCCUCCCACCUCUGACUGGCAGAACAUUUGAGAAAUGGCAAGCAACCCAGACAGGUCCCCCAAAACUCCAGAGAGAAGACAACACCCCCAGAAGUGGCCACUGGGGAUAGAACUUAGGUAGGUAAGGGACAAGUGCAAAUGUCUCUUCCCUCAUUCACCUUUCCCAGAAGAUGCUUGUGGCAUCUGCUUAGCUCCAUGUACAAGGU
rnacentral:lncRNA from 10 species